UAUCUGGUUGAUCUGCCAGUAGUCAUAUGCUGUCUCAAAGAUUAAGCCAUGCAUGUCUAAGUAUAAGCAAUCUAUACGGUGAAACUGCGAAUGGCUCAUUAAAUCAGUUAUCGUUUAUUUGAUAGUACCUUACUACAUGGAUACCUGUGGUAAUUCUAGAGCUAAUACAUGCUAAAAACCUCGACUUCGGAAGGGGUGUAUUUAUUAGAUAAAAAACCAAUGCCCUUCGGGGCUCCUUGGUGAAUCAUAAUAACUUAACGAAUCGCAUGGCCUUGCGCCGGCGAUGGUUCAUUCAAAUUUCUGCCCUAUCAACUUUCGAUGGUAGGAUAGUGGCCUACCAUGGUGGCAACGGGUAACGGGGAAUUAGGGUUCGAUUCCGGAGAGGGAGCCUGAGAAACGGCUACCACAUCCAAGGAAGGCAGCAGGCGCGCAAAUUACCCAAUCCCGAUACGGGGAGGUAGUGACAAUAAAUACUGAUACGGGGCUCUUUUGGGUCUCGUAAUUGGAAUGAGUACAAUUUAAAUACCUUAACGAGGAACAAUUGGAGGGCAAGUCUGGUGCCAGCAGCCGCGGUAAUUCCAGCUCCAAUAGCGUAUAUUAAAGUUGUUGCAGUUAAAAAGCUCGUAGUUGAACCUUGGGUCUGGCUGGCCGGUCCGCCUCACCGCGAGUACUGGUCCGGCUGGACCUUUCCUUCUGGGGAACCUCAUGGCCUUCACUGGCUGUGGGGGGAACCAGGACUUUUACUGUGAAAAAAUUAGAGUGUUCAAAGCAGGCCUUUGCUCGAAUACAUUAGCAUGGAAUAAUAGAAUAGGACGUGCGGUUCUAUUUUGUUGGUUUCUAGGACCGCCGUAAUGAUUAAUAGGGAUAGUCGGGGGCGUCAGUAUUCAGCUGUCAGAGGUGAAAUUCUUGGAUUUGCUGAAGACUAACUACUGCGAAAGCAUUCGCCAAGGAUGUUUUCAUUAAUCAGGGAACGAAAGUUAGGGGAUCGAAGACGAUCAGAUACCGUCGUAGUCUUAACCAUAAAC
rnacentral:ncRNA from 1 species